AUUGAACGCUGGCGGCAGGCCUUACACAUGCAAGUCGAACGGCAGCACGGGGGCAACCCUGGUGGCGAGUGGCGAACGGGUGAGUAACACAUCGGAACGUACCCUAUCGUGGGGGAUAACCAGUCGAAAGAUUGGCUAAUACCGCAUGCACUGGAGACAGCAAAGCGGGGGACCGGCAACGGCCUCGCGCGAUUGGAGCGGCCGAUGUCCGAUUAGCUAGUUGGUGGGGUAAAGGCUCACCAAGGCGACGAUCGGUAGCUGGUCUGAGAGGAUGAUCAGCCACACUGGGACUGAGACACGGCCCAGACUCCUACGGGAGGCAGCAGUGGGGAAUUUGGACAAUGGGGGCAACCCUGAUCCAGCCAUGCCGCGUGAGUGAAGAAGG
rnacentral:rRNA from 1 species